AAACAAAUUCAACAUCCAAGAAACCAAGGACUCGAGGCCCCACACGAUGCUUUGAUGUAUGGAAAAUGCAUGAAGGUCAACGGAUUUCUAUUUCCGUCAACGAUCUAGGGCAACCCGUUUGUGACAAUGCUAGUACGCUGACAAAUUUCAUAGGGACAAUAGCACACAAUGGGGAAUAUGUUCCCCUUACAUUUAAUGAUUGGAGGGCGGUGCCGAAUGCGAAGAAAGAUGAUAUGUGGGGGCUUGUCACGUCCAAGUUUGAGUUUGACGGUAAUGCUAAGGCUUGGGUGCUGAAGUCAAUUGGUAAAAAAAUGGAGGGAAUGGAAGGGCGAGCUAAAGAAACUCCACUACUCUUCUCAUGAGACUAAUGAGGAGUGACUCGCAGAUCUUGAUGAGCGGGUCCAAGAGGAUCAAUGGAAGACUCUCGUUCAGUUUUGAAACUCUGAAGAGGGGACGGCUCGUUCUAAAACAAAUAUAGAGAAUAGGAAGAAACAAUUGAUUAACCACGCGGUAGGCACGAAGAGUUUUGCGCGAAUACGUGAAGAAGAGUAUUCGGUGUUGCAGCUAGUUCUAACAUGAACCAACCGUCCUCAUCAUCAAGCCAUUGGGUGACCUCUCGGAAACACUCGAUGAAUAAUGGGAAGACCACGAGUUGCACUAGUGCCAGGGAUGUGACUGGAGUUAGUCUUACAAGUAUCACGAAACCCGAGGUUACUAUUACUAAAGGAGUUGUUUUGAGCAAGGAUCCACUCACAAAAGUAGGGGGGCAUGAACUUGGAAUUGGUUUCUGGGAAGUAUUAAUUCAUGUGUUAAUAGUACGGGAUGAGGUUUUGAUAAGACCUUAUGGACGAUAUAAAACAAUUGGGGAUGCUAUUAGAACGAGUAUUGUUUGGCCCUCUAUUUUGUGUAAGGUUUAAGGAGAGAUGGAUUGAGCUAAAUGAAAGGACCUCUCUCUCUCUUUUGUAAAUAUUUUAUAUUUUGUGCAUGGGUUCAGGAUUGAUGUGUGAUUGGUUUUGGAUAGAAAGUGUUUGACUCUAAUUUUGCAAUUUGGAUUGACUUAAGAUCCAAUGCAUAUGAUAGGUUGGGUUACUAAAUCAACAAGUUAGCCAACAUGAUUUACUCUUGUUCUUAUCAAUUUUCUUUAUAACUCAAUGCAACUCUUGUUCUUUC